rnacentral:snRNA from 1 species
AUUUUUUUUCCCCAUUAUAGUCGAUACUAAAAUUGGAGCAAUACAGAGAAGAUUAGCAGGACCCCUGCACA